rnacentral:rRNA from 2 species
UGAGUAACACGUGGGUGAUCUGCCCUGCACUUCGGGAUAAGCCCGGGAAACUGGGUCUAAUACCGGAUAGGACUGCGCGGUGCAUGCCGUGUGGUGGAAAGAUUUAUCGGUGCAGGAUGGGCCCGCGGCCUAUCAGCUUGUUGGUGGGGUAAUGGCCUACCAAGGCGACGACGGGUAGCCGGCCUGAGAGGGCGACCGGCCACACUGGGACUGAGACACGGCCCAGACUCCUACGGGAGGCAGCAGUGGGGAAUAUUGCACAAUGGGCGCAAGCCUGAUGCAGCGACGCCGCGUGAGGGAUGACGGCCUUCGGGUUGUAAACCUCUUUCAGCAGGGACGAAGCGUGAGUGACGGUACCUGCAGAAGAAGCACCGGCCAACUACGUGCCAGCAGCCGCGGUAAUACGUAGGGUGCAAGCGUUGUCCGGAAUUACUGGGCGUAAAGAGCUCGUAGGCGGUUUGUCGCGUCGUCUGUGAAAACCAGCAGCUCAACUGUUGGCUUGCAGGCGAUACGGGCAGACUUGAGUAUUUCAGGGGAGACUGGAAUUCCUGGUGUAGCGGUGAAAUGCGCAGAUAUCAGGAGGAACACCGGUGGCGAAGGCGGGUCUCUGGGAAAUAACUGACGCUGAGGAGCGAAAGCGUGGGUAGCGAACAGGAUUAGAUACCCUGGUAGUCCACGCCGUAAACGGUGGGCGCUAGGUGUGGGUUUCCUUCCACGGGAUCCGUGCCGUAGCUAACGCAUUAAGCGCCCCGCCUGGG